GGUACCUGAAGCAAGAAGCCUUGAAGACAGCUUGGGAUUCUAAAAGGCAGAAAAGUGAGGAAGGAGAAAGUCUCAGACAAGGGAGAAGGUGGCCAAGGGCUCUGAUGGGGGAAUGAAGCAGGGCAGUCUGGGAGGAGAUACGGAGCACAGAGGGGCACAACGUGGAACAAGCUGGGAGUUCGAGGAGGACUUUCGACCCUUGUGUGUGCCAUGGAUCCCUUCUGGCAGGCUGCACACAGGUCAACUGAUCCAAAGAGUGGUGAAAACACAGCAGUUUUGUCUUCGUGUGAGAUAAAAAGUGUCUUACUAGUCUUCAAGGACCAGGACAACAGGACAGGAGGGAGGAAAAAAAAACCCUGAAAUUUAAUUGAUAACUGAUUAUCAACCCAAGGUGAAAAAAGACUGUGACAGAAACUUCAAAAUUCAACCCAUCAUAAAUCUUUUCUUUUUUUCCACUGGUAUCUCUUAUGAAGCAUGAAGCAAAUGAAAAGACUUCUCUUCAUGGCUCUUCCUUUUAAUGAGAUGGCUUUGUCCUCAUACUCCACAUAAAUAAACAAGAAAGCUGGGAUGAAGUAGAUACAAUAAAUUUGGAGUCAUAAAUUAUGGGUUUGAGUGGAACUCCACCACUUCCUAGCUGUGCGACCUUGGGCAAGUCAGUUUUUCUCCUCUGAUAAAUGGGAACAAUAAUACCAGGGCUACCUUCCUCACAAGAGUAUUUUCAUACAAUCCUAAAAUGCUAGAGCUAGAAGGGACCUCAAGGGUCACCUAGCCCAACUGAUACAUCAACAAGAAGCCUCCUCUAUAACACACCCAUAAGUGGUCAUUCUAGCCUUUCUUGGAAGACCUCCAAUAGGGAAAGGCGGCCCACAUAAAUGUUUUGUUACGAAAUUUUUCCUGACAUCAAGUCUAGAUUUGUGCCUCUACAGCUCCCACCUAUUGCUCCUCAUUCUGCCUUCUGGGCCAAACAGAAGAAGGUGAACCAUCCUCCAUCUGCCAGCCCUUCCAAUAUUUGGCCAAAGUGAUCACGCAUCAGACUCUGCCCCAGUCUUUUCUGGCCAAACAUCCCUAAUGCCUGCAAAUAGUCCUCAUCUGGCCCUUCAGCAUCUUGUUUGCCUCCUCUGGAUGCUCUCCAAGUCCUUCCCAACUCCCAGAUGGGCACUUUAUCCAGUGUGCCACCUCGCUGCCCUGACUAUAUAGCAGGACUAUCCCCUCCCUAGUCCUGAACGCCAUGGCUGCCUCUCUUAAUACAGCUCAAAAUCACAUUCAAUUUCUUGUCUGAGUUUACAGUUUCCUAAAACACCUUGAUCUUUUUUUUUCUAAUAAGCCUGUCUACUCACACCUUCCCAUCUUACACUUGUGAUGUUGACUUUUUGAACCCAAGUGCCACUUUACAUUUGUGAGCAUCAAAUAGAAAAGUGUUAUUAAAUGUCAGCUACCUUUUGUUUAUCCCCAGUUACAGACAUCAUCCUGACUUCAUCCACCAGGCUAUGCUGCUUCUCCCUGAC